CAAAAGAAAUCUGAUCAAUUGGACACACAAUCAUUUGGGGACAUCUACAAGAAAAUAUCUACGAGACCAGCUCAAAAUGAAUCAUCAAAUUCAAAAGAAACUAUUGUAUAUGAUUCCAAUGGAGUUACCCAUGUUCUACCAUGGUCUUAUAACCCAUUAUAUGAUAAAUAUGGAAAAGACCUUCCGCCCAGCUUGAAGAGAUUGAAAAUUGAAGAUUUUAAUAGCAUAAAUAUAAGUAGUUGGGGAUAGAUUUUAACAGUGGCAUUCGCUAUACCUGAAUAUUUUAAGUAUCCAUGCUUCUUCGUACUCCCUAAAAAUAAUGAAGAUAUAUUAUCUCUAGAAGCUCCACCAAAAUAUCUUCAAGGUAACAAAGAUGUCCCAAUCCUAAGGACAUUGGACAAAUCUAUCAAGGCGCAAACGCCUCAUCCAAAUCUAUUGCAUACAAACAGAAUGAUUGAAAUUAUGAAUUUCAUGAAGGACCACGUGCAAUCAACGCUCUUUCUAUACGAAGAGAUGAAAAGGAUAUCAAGCACACAUCUCAUAAAGGACGAAUUGAGAGAAAUGGUUUCGUAUCUCGAAAGGUCCAAAAGUAGUCAGCUCAAAAAGAAAGUUCUAGACUUUUAUAACGACCAAAGAAUAUCGAUGACGAAAGGUAACACUAAGGACCCUUGGAGAUUCAAGAAGAAUGACCUGGUUAUAAAUUAUAUGAAAGAUCCGUUUAACUAUGGUGUGUUAACGUAAAAAUCACUUGUACCUUCUGAUAUCCUUACAUUUUAGAACAUAGUUCGUAGACGGUAGACCGAACCAAUGUUUAAACAAUAAACGAGAAUGCCUGUUAUUAUAUUU